CGGUGGGCUAGGCCGGAGGGCUAGGGGUCCUCUGUUACCGCAAACCCUCUAUACGGUAGGGCCGAAGUUCACGGGGCGGACAGAACAAUCCGUCCCGACCCCGUUCAUCGGUGUCGAAGCCACGUCCCGGUUGGUGGGCGUUGGCGGGCCCUUCGGGGCAACCGCCUUCGCUUGGUGAACCCGUCAGGCCUUGAUCGGAGCAGCGGUAGUCGAGGCGUUCCACGCUUCCGGGGUUGCGGGGUGGAGCCUGAGCGGGACCUCCGGGACGGUGCGGGACGUUCCACCCGAGGACGUGUCCACCG
rnacentral:SRP_RNA from 1 species